GAUAAACGCUGGCGGCGCACAUAAGACAUGCAAGUCGAACGAACUUAACUCAUUCUUUACGAUUGAGAGCGGUUAGUGGCGGACUGGUGAGUAACACGUAAGCAACCUGCCUAUUAGAGGGGAAUAACAGUGAGAAAUCAUUGCUAAUACCGCAUAUGCUCACAGCAACACAUGUUGCAGUGAGGAAAGGAGUAAUCCGCUAAUAGAUGGACUUGCGUCUGAUUAGCUAGUUGGUGGGGUAACGGCCUACCAAGGCGACGAUCAGUAGCCGGACUGAGAGGUUGAACGGCCACAUUGGGACUGAGAUACGGCCCCAGACUCCUACGGGAGGCAGCAGUCGGGGAAUAUUGCGCAAUGGAGGAAACUCUGACGCAGUGACGCCGCGUGCAGGAAGAAGGUUUUCGGAUUGUAAACUGCUUUAGACAGGGAAGAACAAAGACAGUACCUGUAGAAUAAGCUCCGGCUAACUACGUGCCAGCAG
rnacentral:rRNA from 1 species